ACGGCAGUUCACCACAACAUCAGACACAUUAUGGCCUCCGCAGGUCCGGAGGAUUUACCGGAGAACUGGGAGGGUUUAGCGGCCUCAGGAGACACCGGGACACCGGGAAGAAACACCGGCAUUGCAGGAUCCCGUAAAACCACCUUCGUUCAGAUGUCCCACUGACCCCAGGUCAGCACCUCCAGGUCCAGCACCACCGUGACGGCUCUGCUGAAAUACACAAUUAAACAUUUUCUAUGACCUAUUUUUGUAUUAAUACAAUUAAACUGAAGACAGUUUAAUGACCUAGAGAUACCCUUUUAUUCCACUGCUUAUGUACACAUGUUGUAAAUAAUGGUUAAAACCUCAGUAAAUGAAAUAAACAAUGUGUUUAACAA